AGAGUUUGAUCAUGGCUCAGAUUGCACGCUGGCGGCAGGCUUAACACAUGCAAGUCGAACGGUAACAGGGAGGAGCCUGCUUCUUUGCUGACGAGUGGCGGACGGGUGAGUAAUGCUUGGGAAUCUGGCUUAUGGAGGGGGAUAACUACGGGAAACUGUAGCUAAUACCGCGUAAUAUCUUCGGAUUAAAGGGUGGGACUUUCGGGCCACCUGCCAUAAGAUGAGCCCAAGUGGGAUUAGGUAGUUGGUGGGGUAAAGGCCUACCAAGCCGACGAUCUCUAGCUGGUCUGAGAGGAUGACCAGCCACACUGGAACUGAGACACGGUCCAGACUCCUACGGGAGGCAGCAGUGGGGAAUAUUGCACAAUGGGGGGAACCCUGAUGCAGCCAUGCCGCGUGAAUGAAGAAGGCCUUCGGGUUGUAAAGUUCUUUCGGUGAUGAGGAAGGUGUUUGUUUUAAUAGAGCAAGCAAUUGACGUUAGUCACAGAAGAAGCACCGGCUAACUCCGUGCCAGCAGCCGCGGUAAUACGGAGGGUGCGAGCGUUAAUCGGAAUGACUGGGCGUAAAGGGCACGCAGGCGGUGACUUAAGUGAGAUGUGAAAGCCCCGAGCUUAACUUGGGAAUUGCAUUUCAUACUGGGUCGCUAGAGUAUUUUAGGGAGGGGUAGAAUUCCACGUGUAGCGGUGAAAUGCGUAGAGAUGUGGAGGAAUACCGAAGGCGAAGGCAGCCCCUUGGGAAUAUACUGACGCUCAUGUGCGAAAGCGUGGGGAGCAAACAGGAUUAGAUACCCUGGUAGUCCACGCUGUAAACGCUGUCGAUUUGGGGAUUGGGCUUUAAGCUUGGUGCCCGUAGCUAACGUGAUAAA
rnacentral:rRNA from 1 species